rnacentral:rRNA from 1 species
CUAGCCGUAAACGAUGGACACUAGGUGUUGGGAGCAUCGACCCUCCCAGUGCUGUUCUGCUAACGCGUUAAGUGUCCCGCCUGGGGAGUACGGCCGCAAGGUUGAAACUCAUAGGAAUUGACGGGGGCCCGCACAAGCGGUGGAGCAUGCGGGUUAAUAGGAUGAUACGCCAAGAACCUUACCAGGGCUUGACAUGACGGGGACAGCCUGUGAAAGCAGGUCUCCUGGGCAACCAGGUCCCGCCACAGAUGG